rnacentral:rRNA from 1 species
UGAACGACUCUCGGCAACGGAUAUCUCGGCUCUUGCAUCGAUGAAGAACGUAGCGAAAUGCGAUACWUGGUGUGAAUUGCAGAAUCCCGUGAACCAUCGAGUCUUUGAACGCAAGUUGCGCCCGAGGCCUUCUGGUCGAGGGCACGUCUGCCUGGGCGUCACGC